UACAGAGGGUGCGAGCGUUAAUCGGAAUUACUGGGCGUAAAGCGCGCGUAGGCGGCCAACUAAGUCGGAUGUGAAAUCCCCAGGCUCAACCUGGGAACUGCAUCCGAUACUGGAUGGCUUGAAUUCGGGAGAGGGAUGCAGAAUUCCAGGUGUAGCGGUGAAAUGCGUAGAUAUCUGGAGGAAUACCGGUGGCGAAGGCGGCAUCCUGGACCGACAUUGACGCUGAGGAGCGAAAGCUAGGGGAGCAAACGGG
rnacentral:rRNA from 1 species